rnacentral:lncRNA from 1 species
CAUUUGGCAAAAGAAGACGCUUUUUAGAGCAAACCCGCCCACCCUCCCCUUAAUUUGUUAGAAUGCAAUUCCUGCGGAAGAUACUGCUGUUUUUUUUUUUUCAGAUUUGUAUUGUCCACAUAGAUUAUAUCGUCAUACCAUGUUGAAAGCUGUUCAGAUUCUAAUAUAGAGACUGUCAAUCAACGAAAAAUAGAUGAUUAUAGAUGAAUACUGGCCGCAAAAGAGUGGACAUACACAUAAAUUGAAAGGAUAACUUGGAAGUGAUUAAUUACGGAUUUUAUUACAUUCUAACAUGUGAAAUAGUUGCAGAUUUGAAUUAAUCAAUGAUAGCGAUAACUUCUGAUUUCCAGAGUUUUGAUCUAAUUGUUACAU